AGGUGCACAGUACCAUGCCAGGCUAAUUUUUGUAUUUUUAGUAGAAACAGGGUUUCACUGUGUUGGCCAGGCUGAUCUCAAACUCCUGAUCUCAAGUGAUCCGCCUGCCUCAGCCUCCCAAAGUGCUGGGAUUACAGGCAUGAGUGACCGUGCCCAGCCUCUUUAUCCUUAAAAUGGGACUCACGAUGGUAUUCACUUUAGAAGGCUACUAGGAGGACCAAAUGAUAUAAUGUCUCAACAGUGCUUAGCUCCAUGCCUGGCACAUGGCAAGGACUUGGUUGAUGAUGGUAAAGAUGGUGGGGAUGAUGAUUUUCCACAAGGAAAAACAUGAGUUACAGGAAACCAGCUGGAGAUUGGUGGCUUCACCAGGUAAUAAGCUGUGAUUGGGUCCUCUGAUGCCAGAGAUGGAGAUGGAGAGAUUUUUUUAUUCUUCAAUGUAGUGGUCACAUUGGGCCUUUAGGAUUGAACUCUGUUUCAGAAUUUAAUAUCCCAGGAUUUGUUUACAUAUGUCUUCAGAAAUCAUGUCACACUCAAAGCCUCAAUGAGAACUCUUUUUUCUAGAAAUCUCUAUUAAAACCCCAAAGUUGAAUCAGGGUAUUAUAUAGUCCUUAGAUAUCACAUUGAUAUGUGUCCUACUAAGGAUUAAAUAUGUCAUGCAGACCCCAGUGUAGACAUAUAGUUUCAUAAACCAUAUACCCAGAAACCCUAAGAAAAUAGAGAUUCUACUUGUGUGAAAAGUCCACUCAACAUGCUAAAUAUUUCCUGUGUGUCUGUCAUGAGCCAGGCAAUGAAUGUGAUGGGCAGUACAGUGGAUCCCCAGUCUGCAUGAUGCAGGCUCUCUCCCAGGGAGCUUGGAAGUGCCCUUGAUCUAUAAUUCAUAUGGAAUGUAGAAUGCAAAUGCCUAGAGAGGCUAAACAAGAAGAUAUACAGAGAGAGAAAGAAUGAGAAUGAGAAUAUCAUAAGGAGAUCAUGAAUGGCAUCCUGAAGGUGCAGGCAGAGGGGCGUUUGGCGGGGCAUUUGGCAGGGCCUUGAAGAACACGGUGAAUUACAAAAAGCCAAGUCUUAGAGCUGAUCUGGAUUUUAAUCCCAACUCCACCUUUGUGACCUUAGACAAAAUGAUUUAACCUUUAGUGCUUCUCUUGUGCUUUUUUCCCCAUUUGUAAAAAGAAGAUGUUAAAACAACCUUGUGGGACCUUGUAAGGGUCAAUGACUAAAGUGGUUCACAUGCUUGGCAAGCACUAGGAUCAAUAAAUGGUAUUAAAAACAUUGUGAGCAAAAGUCUUAGGUGGGGUUCCCGGAAAGCAUACUGUCAGAUGGAGGUUUACUGGGAAUGCUCUUGGGAACAACGCCUGUGGGCUACUGGAGGAUGCUGAAUUAGGCAGAUGGAGGAACUGAACUGUGCUGCAGUCAUGACAGAGGACUCAGCCCAUGGCAGGGAGCUCUGGAGCUGGGGAGCCCUCCAAAGUGAUCCUGAAUUGAGGCAAAAGGGCUGGUCUUGUGCCACCUUAUCAGCCAGUUUCUGGACGGGAACUGCCCCUGUGGAGAGGAUGUAACUCUGGGCAAGGCAGUUCCCUUGGCAGAAGGCAAGUCCAGGAGAGGGCCUCAGCUGUGAGCCGUCAGCAGCCAACACUCCUAGAAUCCAAGGGAAUGAAUGCCUUGGUCCUGAAGGAGCACACCACAGCACACCACAGUGUCCACUACAGCAGGGGAAGCUCAGUACAUUAGAAUGAGAUCCAUCUCUUCCAGGUAUUCUAUUACUUCCUCUGAGGCCUAGGCCUGACUGAAAUUCAGAGACGCCUUCACCGUUGGAAAGAGGAAGCUUUCCUCUGCCCCAUGAAGACAGCUCUGGGUGGCUCUGGCCUCAUUCUGCAUUCAGGGCCUCCUCACUUACCACUGCUCCUGAAGAUAGUCAGCCCCUUCUGCUUCCUCCCUACUUUUAUUCUUACUUGUGACCUUUUUACUUUCUUGAAAGGAUCGAACAGUAGAUAUCAAAUAGCCAAGUGCUACUUCUCAAAGAGAAGUAGAGAAUCCCUAGAAAGACCUUGAAAUCACA
rnacentral:lncRNA from 10 species